ACGCUCGACACCUACGGGUGGCAGCAGUCGGGAAUAUUGCGCAAUGGAGGAAACUCUGACGCAGUGACGCCGCGUAUGGGAAGAAGGUUUUCGGAUUGUAAACCAUUUUAGACAAGGAAGAAACAAGACAGUACUUGUAGAAUAAGCUCCGGCUAACUACGUGCUAGCAGCCGCGGUAAUCUGAGCGGGCUGGCAAGGC
rnacentral:rRNA from 1 species